GGAGAAUCAGGUUCCGUUCUUUCU
rnacentral:siRNA from 1 species